UACGUAGGCUGUUAUUUAAGUCAGAUGUGAAAGCCCCGGGCUUAACCUGGGAACUGCAUUUGAUACUGGGUAACUAGAGUCUGGUAGAGGGUAGUGGAAUUCCACGUGUAGCGGUGAAAUGCGUAGAUAUGUGGAGGAACAUCAGUGGCGAAGGCGACUGCCUGACCAAGACUGACGCUGAGGUACGAAAGCGUGGGGAGCAAACA
rnacentral:rRNA from 1 species